rnacentral:rRNA from 1 species
UACGAAGGGGGCGAGCGUUGUUCGGAAUCACUGGGCGUAAAGGGCGCGUAGGCGGCCCUCUUAGUCGCGGUGUGAAAGCCCCGGGCUCAACCUGGGAACGGCGCGCGAAACGGGAGGCUGGAGUUCGGGAGAGGAGAGUGGAAUUCCCGAGUGUAGAGGUGAAAUUCGAUAGAUAUCGGGAGGAACACCGGUGGCGAAGGCGGCGACCUGGGUAGAUACUGACGCUGAGGUGCGAAAGCGUGGGGAGCAACAGG